rnacentral:lncRNA from 1 species
AGGAUGCGACGUCAACGGGAGCGCAGGGCCAAGAUACCCUUUAUAUCAAACCGUCUAUCCUGGAGCAGAAAAAUCCUGUCUUCAUUGCUAUAGCUACAGAUUCAGAAAUGAGCAUGUAACAAAUUCAGGCCAAAGAGAGGUGACCUGAUGAUGUGCCACACACAUUCCCUCUUCAAGGAUUAGACUUGCUGCCCAGCUAUAGCAAGUAUGGUGAGCAGACAGCUUCCAGCUGUCAUUUUCUUCAUGGUCUGCCUCGGCUGCAGAGAGAGCUGCUUUGCCUGACUUUACUCCCUGGAUCACUCAAUGAUUGACACAGAUGGAGGAAGAGGCCAGGAGCUAAGGAAUCCAGGCCAUCUCUAGAAGAUGGAAAAGACAAGGAAGCAGAGUCAUCCCUAGAGGGAUCCAGAGGGAACAUGGCCCUGCUGACAACUUAAUUUCAGUCGAGUGAAACUUAUUUGGGACUUCUGACUUCAGAACUGUAAAAUUAUAAAUUUGUCUUGUCUUAAACCACUAAAUAGAUUUGUUACAGAGAAAAUAGGAAACUAAUUCACCGUCCAACAGCACAUUUUGUUCAAUCUGAUAUCAUUUUGGUUAAAAAUGUUUUUCACAGGAAAAAAUACUGGGAGAAUAUACAUUGAAGGAUGUAUAAUAUUUAUUACUGGGUAAGAUUUUGCUCAUGUCGUUUUCUAGAUUAUCUAUAAUAAAUGUAUUUUUCUACAACAAAUAAAUUUGUAAAGAAGGAAGUGAAUGGUUUCCAUGAACUUUGGUCAAAAUACUCAAAAGUAAUGAUGGAAUAUAUGUACUCUAUAUCUUUUCUAAAGGAAAACUGAGAGAACACUAUUAAUUAUCAUGAUAGAAUAAUCCUUUAGAGAGAGAACAUGAGAUCAGAUUAGCUCAAAUGGAUGAAAUAGCAACACGGUACAUGCUGAAUUAAGUUAUUUAUAAACAUUGUUUAUUUAGAUUGUUCCUGUAUUGAUGGUGGUAUUCACUUUGUUGUCAUUCUCUCUUUUCUUUUUUCACUGUUAACAAUGCUACGAUAAAUAUCCUU